UGUGCCAGGCGAAAAACGUAGCCUCGCACUCUCGCAGGCGGCGGCGCAUCGAGAAACAGGGCUGCGGCUGUUGCUUCUUCCACCUCUCCGGCCAUCCGGCGGUCCAUCGUUCCGUGCCGGCGGCCUCCCCUCCUACGCCCCUGCCGAUUCUUCAAUCUUCACCAACGUCUGCGCGUAGCAGGCUAGCAGUCGGCACGGCUUCCUCAGAUCUGCCGGACGACUUGCUGUUCGUCACCGACUCACCAGCAACCAACGUCAGCCAUCAGCCGGCAGCAGGGGAAGCUGGGCGGAGGGUCAUUGCGGCACGGCGUCCAGGCGUACAGAAGGCACCAGCAACAGCCCAUGGCAAACGCCGCAGAUGACCCUAUGGCAGAUGAAGCCGGAGUAGAAGAUGCCUUCACACAGGAGAUCAAUCAUUCGUACGUCCCUAGAUACCAUGUGUUGAGUUGGAUGGAAACUGUGGAGGGGAUGGUGGCCGGUGUGGCGUCGCUUCCGCCGGUGUAUUUGAUACUGAACAGAGAUCUUCUUGAGACGGGAUGGGGAUGGAAGAGGCUGGUGCCCUACAGACCUGGUUAUGUUGAGUUGCAUGUGUUCAAGAAAUACCUUGGGGACUAUUUCGACCAUAAUCGUGAAGCUUUUCUUUGUGCCGAGCAGAAGCCUGAUCCAUUUGGAUGGAUUGUUGCUGAAAAGAGUGCCCUGAUUGCUGCAGCCAAAUCGUGCCUCAAGAUGGAGAAGGCACUUCUCAGGUACUGUGCUAGCUUUCUCACUCCUGACGACAAAAGGCUGAUCCUCCGGAUCAAGGACCAGGCAAAGCAAAUGAUCCAAUCAGAGGGUGAUCAAUCUUUGAUUGUAACUAUAUGCUUGGAGUGUAUUGCGAAGGAGGCCGAGUUAAUGUACAAUUAUUUGCCUUGUGAUUUUGACACCACCGAAGAAGUCGCCGUCUGCAAUAAGGUUCGGCGGUCUGCCUUGAAUCUUAUGCUCUACAAAGGUUCUGAAUCUGCUGUUGCUGCUGGUGCCAUGAUGGGUAUCACAACAGAGGCUAAGUCCAUUUUUGACUUGCUUAGUCGAGACCAUGACGUGGUCAUGGAAGUUUUUACUUGUGAGAGUAUAAGGGAACAUACAGCAUCAGUUCUGACCCAGCUUGGGAAGGAAUUUGCUUGCGAGACUGCUACUGUGAACAGCUCAUCAGCGCGGCCUAUGGGGGUCAGUGAUGUUAGAGAUCU
rnacentral:misc_RNA from 1 species